CGGACGGGUGAGUAAUGUCUGGGAAACUGCCUGAUGAGGGGGAUAACUACUGGAAACGGUAGCUAAUACCGCAUAAUGUCUGCGGACCAAAGCGGGGGACCUCCGGGCCUCGCGCCAUCAGAUGAACCCAUAUGGGAUUAGCUUGUAGGUAAGGUAACGGCUUACCUAGGCGACGAUCCCUAGCUGGUCUGAGAGGAUGAUCAGCCACACUGGGACUGAGACACGGCCCAG
rnacentral:rRNA from 1 species